GAUGAACGCUAGCUACAGGCUUAACACAUGCAAGUCGAGGGGAAACGACAUCGAAAGCUUGCUUUUGAUGGGCGUCGACCGGCGCACGGGUGAGUAACGCGUAUCCAACCUGCCCACCACUUGGGGAUAACCUUGCGAAAAUAAGACUAAUACCCAAUGAUAUCCCACGAAGACAUCUGAAUGGGAUUAAAGAUUUAUCGGUGAUGGAUGGGGAUGCGUCUGAUUAGCUUGUUGGCGGGGUAACGGCCCACCAAGGCAACGAUCAGUAGGGGUUCUGAGAGGAAGGUCCCCCACAUUGGAACUGAGACACGGUCCAAACUCCUACGGGAGGCAGCAGUGAGGAAUAUUGGUCAAUGGGCGAGAGCCUGAACCAGCCAAGUAGCGUGCAGGAAGACGGCCCUAUGGGUUGUAAACUGCUUUUAUAAGGGAAUAAAGUGGGUCACGUGUGACUUUUUGCAUGUACCUUAUGAAUAAGGACCGGCUAAUUCCGUG
rnacentral:rRNA from 1 species